rnacentral:rRNA from 1 species
GAUGAACGCUGACAGAAUGCUUAACACAUGCAAGUCUUUGGUGAAGCUGUGCUUGCACAGCCUAGCCAAGGCGGACGGGUGAGUAACGCGUAAGGAACUUGCCCUGCAGUCAGGGAUAACAGACGGAAACGACUGAUAAGACCUGGUAAAGUCAGGCAGACUCAUGUCCAGCCUGAUGAAAAGAGAUGCUGCAGGAGAGCCUUGCGUCCUAUUAGCUUGUUGGUGGGGUAACGGCCCACCAAGGCAAUGAUAGGUAGCCGGCCUGAGAGGGUGGACGGCCACAAGGGGACUGAGAUACGGCCCUUACUCCUACGGGAGGCAGCAGUGGGGAAUAUUGGACAAUGGGGGCAACCCUGAUCCAGCAAUUCUGUGUGCACGAUGAAGGUUUUCGGAUUGUAAAGUGCUUUCAGCAGGGAAGAAAAAAAUGACGGUACCUGCAGAAGAAGCGACGGCUAAAUACGUG